CCUACGGGUGGCUGCAGUGGGGAAUAUUGGACAAUGGGCGAAAGCCUGAUCCAGCCAUGCCGCGUGUGUGAAGAAGGCCUUCGGGUUGUAAAGCACUUUCAGUGGGGAAGAAAGCCUUGGGGCUAAUACCCUCGAGGAAGGACAUCACCCACAGAAGAAGCACCGGCUAACUCCGUGCCAGCAGCCGCGGUAAUACGGAGGGUGCGAGCGUUAAUCGGAAUUACUGGGCGUAAAGCGCGCGUAGGCGGUCUGAUAAGCCGGUUGUGAAAGCCCCGGGCUCAACCUGGGAACGGCAUCCGGAACUGUCAGGCUAGAGUGCAGGAGAGGAAGGUAGAAUUCCCGGUGUAGCGGUGAAAUGCGUAGAGAUCGGGAGGAAUACCAGUGGCGAAGGCGGCCUUCUGGACUGACACUGACGCUGAGGUGCGAAAGCGUGGGUAGCAAACAGGAUUAGAUCCCCGGAGUC
rnacentral:rRNA from 1 species